GUUGGGUAGGGGAGCGUUCUGUAAGCCUGCGAAGGUGUACUGUGAGGUAUGCUGGAGGUAUCAGAAGUGCGAAUGCUGACAUAAGUAACGAUAAUGCGGGUGAAAAACCCGCACGCCGGAAGACCAAGGGUUCCUGUCCAACGUUAAUCGGGGCAGGGUGAGUCGACCCCUAAGGCGAGGCUGAAAAGCGUAGUCGAUGGGAAACGGGUUAAUAUUCCCGUACUGGUGGUAACUGCGAUGGGGGAACGGAGAAGGCUAGGUUGUCCGGGCGACGGUCGUCCCGGUUCAAGCAGGUAGGCAGAGUGAUUAGGCAAAUCCGGUCACUUAAUGCUGAGAUGUGAUGACGAACCACCAAGGUGGUGAAGCAAUUGAUGCCCCGCUUCCAGGAAAAGCCUCUAAGCUUCAGGUUACCAACAAUCGUACCCCAAACCGACACAGGUGGUCAGGUAGAGAAUACUCAGGCGCUUGAGAGAACUCGGGUGAAGGAACUAGGCAAAAUGGUGCCGUAACUUCGGGAGAAGGCACGCUGGCGGUAGGUAAAGUCCCUUGCGGACGGCGCUGAAGCCAGUCGAAGAUACCAGCUGGCUGCAACUGUUUAUUAAAAACACAGCACUGUGCAAACACGAAAGUGGACGUAUACGGUGUGACGCCUGCCCGGUGCUGGAAGGUUAAUUGAUGGGGUCAGCCGCAAGGCGAAGCUCCUGAUCGAAGCCCCAGUAAACGGCGGCCGUAACUAUAACGGUCCUAAGGUAGCGAAAUUCCUUGUCGGGUAAGUUCCGACCUGCACGAAUGGCGUAAUGAUGGCCAGGCUGUCUCCACCCGAGACUCAGUGAAAUUGAACUCGCUGUGAAGAUGCAGUGUACCCGCGGCAAGACGGAAAGACCCCGUGAACCUUUACUAUAGCUUGACACUGAACAUUGAGCCUUGAUGUGUAGGAUAGGUGGGAGGCUUUGAAGUGUGGACGCCAGUCUGCAUGGAGCCAACCUUGAAAUACCACCCUUUAACGUUUGAUGUUCUAACCUAGGCCCAUAAACUGGGUCGGGGACCGUGUCUGGUGGGUAGUUUGACUGGGGCGGUCUCCUCCUAAAGAGUAACGGAGGAGCACGAAGGUUGGCUAAGCAUGGUCGGACAUCAUGCGGUUAGUGCAAAGGCAUAAGCCAGCUUGACUGCGAGAGUGACGGCUCGAGCAGGUACGAAAGUAGGUCUUAGUGAUCCGGUGGUUCUGAAUGGAAGGGCCAUCGCUCAACGGAUAAAAGGUACUCCGGGGAUAACAGGCUGAUACCGCCCAAGAGUUCAUAUCGACGGCGGUGUUUGGCACCUCGAUGUCGGCUCAUCACAUCCUGGGGCUGAAGUAGGUCCCAAGGGUAUGGCUGUUCGCCAUUUAAAGUGGUACGCGAGCUGGGUUUAGAACGUCGUGAGACAGUUCGGUCCCUAUCUGCCGUGGGCGUUGGAAGAUUGAGAGGGGUUGCUCCUAGUACGAGAGGACCGGAGUGAACGCACCACUGGUGUUCGGGUUGUCAUGCCAAUGGCAUUGCCCGGUAGCUAAGUGCGGAAGAGAUAACCGCUGAAAGCAUCUAAGCGGGAAACUUGCCUCGAGAUGAGUCUUCCCUGUCGCUUUAAGCGACCUAAAGGAACGUUUAAGACUAAGACGUUGAUAGGCUGGGUGUGUAAGCGUAGCGAUACGUUGAGCUAACCAGUACUAAUGAACCGUGAGGCUUAACCUGACAACACCGAAAGUGUUUUG
rnacentral:rRNA from 1 species